GAGCUUGGCGGUGUUUUAGACCUCUCAGGGGAACCUGUCUCAUAAUCGACAAUCCACGUUAAACCUAACCUUUGAUGGCAAUUCAGUCUGUAUACCGUUGUCGUCAGGUAACUUCUUAAAAUAUAGUAGUUAGCUUGAAAAUUUUAUUAAUUAAAACGUCAAAUCAAGGUGCAGCUAAUGAAAAGGUGAGGAUGGGUUACAAUUACAUAUUUGUAAGUACGGAAAACAUUUGAAAGAAUGUAUUAAAGGAGGACUUGAAAGUAAUUUUGAUUAUAUAAACAAAAUGAAUGCGGCUCUGAAACGUGUACACAUCGCCCGUCGCUCUCGUUGAAAAAUGAGAUAAGUCGUAACAUAGUAGGGGUAAUGGAAAUUGUUCCUAGGC
rnacentral:rRNA from 1 species